CCUACGGGAGGCUGCAGUGAGGAAUAUUGGUCAAUGGGCGCGAGCCUGAACCAGCCAAGUCGCGUGAAGGAUGAAUGCCCUAUGGGUUGUAAACCUCUUUUAUAAGGGAAUAAAGUGUGGGACGUGUCCUUUUUUGUAUGUACUUUAUGAAUAAGGAUCGGCUAACUCCGUGCCAGCAGCCGCGGUAAUACGGAGGAUCCGAGCGUUAUCCGGAUUUAUUGGGUUUAAAGGGUGCGUAGGCGGCCUUUUAAGUCAGUGGUGAAAGUCUGUGGCUCAACCAUAGAAUUGCCAUUGAUACUGGGGGGCUUGAGUAUGGUUGAGGCAGGCGGAAUGCGUGGUGUAGCGGUGAAAUGCUUAGAUAUCACGAAGAACCCCGAUUGCGAAGGCAGCCUGCCAAGCCAUGACUGACGCUGAUGCACGAAAGUGUGGGGAUCAAACAGGAUUAGAUACCCUAGUAGUC
rnacentral:rRNA from 1 species